rnacentral:rRNA from 1 species
AGUGAACGCUGGCGGUAGGCCUAACACAUGUAAGUCGAACGGCAGCACAGUAAGAGCUUGCUCUUACGGGUGGCGAGUGGCGGACGGGUGAGGAAUACAUCGGAAUCUACUUUUUCGUGGGGGAUAACGUAGGGAAACUUACGCUAAUACCGCAUACGACCUACGGGUGAAAGCAGGGGAUCUUCGGACCUUGCGCGAUUGAAUGAGCCGAUGUCGGAUUAGCUAGUUGGCGGGGUAAAGGCCCACCAAGGCGACGAUCCGUAGCUGGUCUGAGAGGAUGAUCAGCCACACUGGAACUGGGACACGGUCCAGACUCCUACGGGAGGCAGCAGUGGGGAAUAUUGGACAAUGGGCGCAAGCCUGAUCCAGCCAUACCGCGUGGGUGAAGAAGGCCUUCGGGUUGUAAAGCCCUUUUGUUGGGAAAGAAAAGCAGCAGGUUAAUACCCCGCUGUUCUGACGGUACCCAAAGAAUAAGCACCGGCUAACUUCGUG